AAUCAGCCAGUAAAUAGCAAUGACGCUGGCGAUUCCCGCGGGUGUUCCCGUGUAGGGGAUCGCCCCUCUUCACUUCCCCACCGGCACGUUAACCCCUGCAUCCCUGUAUUGAAAAACACACCAUUAGAAGGUGUGUAAUUUUUCAAUAGAAAAACCCACUGUGUAAGGGUUUUUGCAAUUAGCACUGAUGCUGGUGAUGCCGCGGGUGUUCCCCCGUGGGCAAUCGGUCCCCUGCACCCCCCACCCUGUACUUUAACCCCUGCACUCCCUACAUUUAAAAACACACCAUGGGAGGUGUGUAUUUUUUUUUAUAAAACCCACCAUUGAAGGGGUUAUCUCCAGUAACACAAGAAAAUAUUGCCAUUCUUUGUAUGCUUUUUAUGCAAAGGACCCUUAAUUCCAAAGCUAUAAUUUUGUUCUGUUGGCAGGUUCCAAAAGUAGUAGGUACAGGAAUGGAGUAACAAUAUCUUGAAAGUUGGAUCCUAAGGCUUUGUCUGAUGUUUCUAUCUCUAAACUGAGCUUUCAUGGACCAAAGGAAGGUGCAACCUUUGUGGGUGAGAGCAGUAAUGGGAGCCAUCAUUUAAAAAUACAUUUCAGAUAAGAAACGGCAGUUAUUGCCAAAUCCAAGAAAGCAUUGAACCUACUCUAACAUCACUUGAGGAGCAACCAUGAAAACAUCACCACACUGCUAGAAACCGCUUGAGGAAUUCUUUAAAACAUCAUGAACGAUAUACUGAAAUGUAGUAGAGGCAUGCCACAGACUAAAGGACAUGACAAGAAACAUGAAAUGCUUUGUUUUUUAGAUCUGGUCUAACUCAGACAUGAUUAUAGGACAUCUAAGAUCUAACCCAGUGAAAAGGUUGGCUGCUCAUAACCACUGCUAACUUUUCUGGUUUGCUAACAAACCUGAAUAAGGCCCAUACAUUCUUAGACCCUGGACUGUUAAGUUGCCUUGAGAAACAAGUUUCGGAACCUUGAUCUAUAUAGUAGUUGUCAAGUUUCCAUGGUGAUUUGUCUUUAAACAUUGGGCAACAUGUUUAUGGACUCUAUGGGAUCAUUUCUUUGUUGUUUAGCAAAACGCUGAAAUUAGUAAACAACAAAAACAAGAAGAGAGGGUGCAGAGGGGGCAUUAAGAAGAGGAAAAAACAAAAGAAGGAAACAUUUGACAACAAGGAAUCCACAAGAGAAAC